UCUUCUAUAGCUUAAAAGGUAGAGCAUCCCACUUUUAAUGGGAAGGUUGAUGGUUCAAACCCAUCUAGAAGAA
rnacentral:tRNA from 1 species